GGUUAAGCGACUAAGCGUACACGGUGGAUGCCCUGGCAGUCAGAGGCGAUGAAGGGCGUGCUAAUCUGCGAUAAGCGCCGGUAAGGUGAUAUGAACCGUUAUAACCGGCGAUACCCGAAUGGGGAAACCCAGUGUGACUCGUCACACUAUCAUUAACUGAAUCCAUAGGUUAAUGAGGCGAACCGGGGGAACUGAAACAUCUAAGUACCCCGAGGAAAAGAAAUCAACCGAGAUUCCCCCAGUAGCGGCGAGCGAACGGGGAGGAGCCCAGAGCCUGAAUCAGCAUGUGUGUUAGUGGAAGCGUCUGGAAAGGCGCGCGAUACAGGGUGACAGCCCCGUACACAAAAGCGCAUGUGCUGUGAGCUCGAUGAGUAGGGCGGGACACGUGGUAUCCUGUCUGAAUAUGGGGGGACCAUCCUCCAAGGCUAAAUACUCCUGACUGACCGAUAGUGAACCAGUACCGUGAGGGAAAGGCGAAAAGAACCCCGGCGAGGGGAGUGAAAAAGAACCUGAAACCGUGUACGUACAAGCAGUGGGAGCACCCUUUGGGUGUGACUGCGUACCUUUUGUAUAAUGGGUCAGCGACUUAUAUUCUGUAGCAAGGUUAACCGAAUAGGGGAGCCGGAGGGAAACCGAGUCUUAACCGGGCGUUAAGUUGCAGGGUAUAGACCCGAAACCCGGUGAUCUAGCCAUGGGCAGGUUGAAGGUUGGGUAACACUAACUGGAGGACCGAACCGACUAAUGUUGAAAAAUUAGCGGAUGACCUGUGGCUGGGGGUGAAAGGCCAAUCAAACCGGGAGAUAGCUGGUUCUCCCCGAAAGCUAUUUAGGUAGCGCCUCGUGAAUUCAUCUCCGGGGGUAGAGCACUGUUUCGGCUAGGGGGCCAUCCCGGCUUACCAACCCGAUGCAAACUGCGAAUACCGGAGAAUGUUAUCACGGGAGACACACGGCGGGUGCUAACGUCCGUCGUGAAGAGGGAAACAACCCAGACCGCCAGCUAAGGUCCCAAAGUCAUGGUUAAGUGGGAAACGAUGUGGGAAGGCCCAGACAGCCAGGAUGUUGGCUUAGAAGCAGCCAUCAUUUAAAGAAAGCGUAAUAGCUCACUGGUCGAGUCGGCCUGCGCGGAAGAUGUAACGGGGCUAAACCAUGCACCGAAGCUGCGGCAGCGACACUGUGUGUUGUUGGGUAGGGGAGCGUUCUGUAAGCCUGCGAAGGUGGCCUGUGAGGGUUGCUGGAGGUAUCAGAAGUGCGAAUGCUGACAUAAGUAACGAUAAAGCGGGUGAAAAGCCCGCUCGCCGGAAGACCAAGGGUUCCUGUCCAACGUUAAUCGGGGCAGGGUGAGUCGACCCCUAAGGCGAGGCCGAAAGGCGUAGUCGAUGGGAAACGGGUUAAUAUUCCCGUACUUGGUGUUACUGCGAAGGGGGGACGGAGAAGGCUAUGUUGGCCGGGCGACGGUUGUCCCGGUUUAAGCGUGUAGGUGUGUGUUCCAGGUAAAUCCGGUUCACUUUAACACUGAGGCGUGACGACGAGGCACUACGGUGCUGAAGCAACAAAUGCCCUGCUUCCAGGAAAAGCCUCUAAGCAUCAGGUAACAUCAAAUCGUACCCCAAACCGACACAGGUGGUCAGGUAGAGAAUACCAAGGCGCUUGAGAGAACUCGGGUGAAGGAACUAGGCAAAAUGGUGCCGUAACUUCGGGAGAAGGCACGCUGACACGUAGGUGAAGUGAUUUACUCAUGGAGCUGAAGUCAGUCGAAGAUACCAGCUGGCUGCAACUGUUUAUUAAAAACACAGCACUGUGCAAACACGAAAGUGGACGUAUACGGUGUGACGCCUGCCCGGUGCCGGAAGGUUAAUUGAUGGGGUCAGCGCAAGCGAAGCUCCUGAUCGAAGCCCCGGUAAACGGCGGCCGUAACUAUAACGGUCCUAAGGUAGCGAAAUUCCUUGUCGGGUAAGUUCCGACCUGCACGAAUGGCGUAAUGAUGGCCAGGCUGUCUCCACCCGAGACUCAGUGAAAUUGAACUCGCUGUGAAGAUGCAGUGUACCCGCGGCAAGACGGAAAGACCCCGUGAACCUUUACUAUAGCUUGACACUGAACAUUGAGCCUUGAUGUGUAGGAUAGGUGGGAGGCUUUGAAGUGUGGACGCCAGUCUGCAUGGAGCCGACCUUGAAAUACCACCCUUUAAUGUUUGAUGUUCUAACGUGGACCCGUUACCCGGGUUGCGGACAGUGUCUGGUGGGUAGUUUGACUGGGGCGGUCUCCUCCUAAAGAGUAACGGAGGAGCACGAAGGUUGGCUAAUCCUGGUCGGACAUCAGGAGGUUAGUGCAAUGGCAUAAGCCAGCUUGACUGCGAGCGUGACGGCGCGAGCAGGUGCGAAAGCAGGUCAUAGUGAUCCGGUGGUUCUGAAUGGAAGGGCCAUCGCUCAACGGAUAAAAGGUACUCCGGGGAUAACAGGCUGAUACCGCCCAAGAGUUCAUAUCGACGGCGGUGUUUGGCACCUCGAUGUCGGCUCAUCACAUCCUGGGGCUGAAGUAGGUCCCAAGGGUAUGGCUGUUCGCCAUUUAAAGUGGUACGCGAGCUGGGUUUAGAACGUCGUGAGACAGUUCGGUCCCUAUCUGCCGUGGGCGCUGGAGAACUGAGGGGGGCUGCUCCUAGUACGAGAGGACCGGAGUGGACGCAUCACUGGUGUUCGGGUUGUCAUGCCAAUGGCACUGCCCGGUAGCUAAAUGCGGAAGAGAUAAGUGCUGAAAGCAUCUAAGCACGAAACUUGCCCCGA
rnacentral:rRNA from 1 species